UACGAAGGGGGCGAGCGUUGUUCGGAAUCACUGGGCGUAAAGCGUGCGUAGGCGGUUGUGAAAGUUAGGAGUGAAAGCCCAGGGCUCAACCCUGGAAUUGCUCUUAAAACUACACGGCUCGAAUUCGGGAGAGGAUAGCGGAAUUGUCAGUGUAGCAGUGAAAUGCGUAGAUAUUGACAGGAACACCAGUGGCGUAAGCGGCUAUCUGGACCGACAUUGACGCUGAGGCACGAAAGCGUGGGAUCAAAACAGGA
rnacentral:rRNA from 1 species